rnacentral:lncRNA from 1 species
AUCUUUGCUGUUUAUUGCUUUGUUUUUCAUUACUAUUUCAUCUUUCCCUUACGGUACGGAAUCUCUAUCGCGCCAAAAAAUCUUUUCUAUCGCCCAUACUAAGUUUAAAGAAUGUUUUAGUUUUAGGGAUUAAGUUUGGGUGUUUCUUUUGUGUCAUUGGUGCUGUUUAUAGUCUACUUGGGAGGAAUGUUGGUGGUUUUUGUUUACUCUGUGUCUUUGGCAGCAGAUCCUUUUCCUGAGGCUUGAGGGGAUU